CCCAGAGGCGUUCCUGUGAGAGGAUGGGGAAGAGAUUAGUUCUUAGUUCCUGGGCGCACCCCUCCCCCUCUCUCGUGCACAGGGAAAUGAUGGCGGCAACACAGCAAAGGAGACCAUGUCCUGGAGAGGGUCCCGGGUCCGGGGCCCCACCCUCCCCGGGGGGCUUGUGCAAGCCUGGCGGCUCGAUCUCUGCUGAUUCCUGUAUUGGGGGUACAGAGGAGGCACAGGACAGUUUUUGUCGAAGCCAGUGCAGCCUCCACUUGGGGAAGCUGAGACCAGCGAGGAAACGGUGAGCCUGGAUGAGUUUCUUUGCCGGGAGGCUGGCACGGGCAUGGAACCAGGGAACAGCCUUUGCCCUCCGGAGCACUGGGUACCCUGAGAAAAGUGAGAAGAGAGAUUGCAGCUAGGUCCCUGCGGAGGAGGAUGGGCUCCUUUCCCAGGAAGGACUGGCUGAGUGGACUGUCUCCAGGGCACAGAACAACAUUGAGAGACUGAGGCCUCCGCCUGCUUGAGGAAGGCCCAUGUGAAUUUCCUGACACAGAAUGGGGACGGGUUUCUGACAGCACCACCCAGCUGAGCCUGCGCAGACUGAACAGCUGUUUCCAGGCCAGGCUGGCUGCAUGGAGGACAUGAGAGGAGCAGCCAGCUGUGUGUACUGGACCCACUGAUUAGGGUGCUCAGGACCAGGAGCCCUCUGAGGAUGUGCAGAAGGGACUCUGGAGAGAGGAACGUGGCGGCCACAGCUGGAGUGACCGCAGUGUACAGAGAUGGGAUGGGAGCAGGAAACCCAAAAGAGCUGGCCCUGGAACCAGGUGGAGGGGAGGCAGCCCAGCCAUGCCAGAGAGGGUAAUGUGGUUUGGAUCUGUGUUCCCACCCAAAUUUUAGGUUCCAUUUUAAUCCUCAGUGUUGGAGGUGGGUCUUGAUAGGAGGUGAUCAGAUCAUGGGGGUGGAUUCUAAUGGUUUAGUACCAUCCCCCUUGGUGCUGUCCUCAUGAUAGUGAGCUAUCAUGAGAUCUGGUUGUUUAAAAGCAUGUUGCACCUCCCCUGAACUUCUCUUGGUCCUACCCCUGCCAUGUAGGACACCUGCUCCACUUCACCUUUCACCAUGAGUAAAAGCUCCUUGAGGCUUCCCAAGAAGUAGAUGCCCCGUGCUUGCUGUACAGCCUGCAGAACUGUGAGCCAAUUAAAC
rnacentral:lncRNA from 1 species